CGUGUGCUAUCCAAACAACACA
rnacentral:siRNA from 1 species